GGAUCCAGGUGCAGACGAGGCGGGUAGUAGCGAGGAGCCAAGCGUUAUCCGGAAGCACUGGGGGUAAAGCGUAGGUAGGUGGGGCGUGAAGUGUGGUGCGAAAUCUAGCGGCUCAACCGUUUAGACUGUGUCGCAUACUGGCGUGCUUGAGGAUGGCAGAGGCAAGUGGAAUUAGUAGUGUAGCAGUGAAAUGCGUAGAUAGUACUAGGAACACCAAUGGCGAAGGCAGCUUGCUGGGCCACCCCUGACGCUGAGGUACGAAAGCGUGGGGAGCGAACAGGAUUAGAUACCCGAGUAGUC
rnacentral:rRNA from 1 species